rnacentral:rRNA from 1 species
GACAGAGGGUGCAAACGUUGUUCGGAAUUACUGGGCGUAAAGCGCGUGUAGGCUGCCCCGAAAGUCAGGUGUGAAAGCCCUGGGCUCAACCCAGGAAGUGCACUUGAAACUUCGGUGGCUUGAGUUCUGGAGAGGAUGGCGGAAUUCUCGGUGUAGAGGUGAAAUUCGUAGAUAUCUGGAGGAACACCGGUGGCGAAGGCGACAUCCUGGACCGGUAUUGACGCUGAGGCGCGAAAGCCAGGGGAGCAAACGGG